UAAAGGAAGCGAUUCCGGCGGAGGAUGGGCAUGCGGCGCAUUAGCUAGUUGGCGGGGUAACGGCCCACCAAGGCGACGAUGCGUAGGGGUUCUGAGAGGAAGGUCCCCCACACUGGUACUGAGACACGGACCAGACUCCUACGGGAGGCAGCAGUGAGGAAUAUUGGUCAAUGGGCGGGAGCCUGAACCAGCCAAGUCGCGUGACGGAAGACGGUCCUAUGGAUUGUAAACCUCUUUAGGCGGGGAGCAAUGCCGGGCACGCGUGCCCGGAGGGAGAGUACCCGCAGAAUAAGCAUCGGCUAACUCCGUGCCAGCAGCCGCGGUAAUACGGAGGAUGCGAGCGUUAUCCGGAUUUAUUGGGUUUAAAGGGUGCGUAGGCGGAUUUUUAAGUCAGCGGUAAAAUGUCCGGGCUCAACCCGGGCCGGCCGUUGAAACUGGGGAUCUUGAGUGGGCGAGAAGUAUGCGGAAUGCGUGGUGUAGCGGUGAAAUGCAUAGAUAUCACGCAGAACUCCGAUUGCGAAGGCAGCAUACCGGCGCCCGACUGACGCUGAGGCACGAAAGCGUGGGGAUCGAACAGGAUUAGAUACCCUGGUAGUCCACGCAGUAAACGAUGAAUGCUAGUUGUCCGGUUCUUUGGGACUGG
rnacentral:rRNA from 1 species